rnacentral:lncRNA from 10 species
CCUGAGCUGAGUCCUGGAGAAAAACAGCAGUUAAUCAUCCAAUUGAUGAGGCAGAAAGAGUGUUCCAGCCUUGCCUAAGCAUGCAUGUAACCCCCAGAAAGAAAAAUCAUGGCCAGACAAGGCGGAGAAAGCUACUCAGUAUGCCUGACAUGUGGUCAACAAAGUUUGCCAUGUCACUCAAUUUUCAUUACUGCAAGAAGCCAUGUGCUAGUGUCAGGC